UUGUGCUUGUAAGUCCUUCGCCUCUUCUCAAACAGCCCUGCUGUGAGCUUGUCAAGGCUCUCUUCUUGUUAAUGAAAUGCUACAUUCCAUGUUGACACGCCGCUCACCUCCCUCACGCUUCAGACUGAUUUACCUUCAUGUCUCCUGUUGAAGCAGGAUUCCUUGAUGAAUAGAAAGUGAAGGCAGAAGUCAGUGUACUGGAACCAUGCUGAGCAGAACUCAACAACUCUAGAACAGUUUGUUCUGAGUGUACACUAAACCACAUCUGGGCAUGCAUUCAACCACGUACGUGCUUGAAAGAAGUGGAUUUUGGGACUGUCCAGAGAAAGUUCUUCUGCCUCCUUGUGGUCAUAUAUAGAGGUUAUCUCCCUUCAGCCCAAAUCCCACAGAUCAGCGCAUGGCCUUCAUCACCACCUCAAGGUCUGUUAUUCAAACACUGGAAAUAACACAACACAUUUCCCCAACUAGAGCACAUACAGGGUGAAAAUGGCCUGCUGUGAAUCUCUGAUGUGCUUUCUGGACACAUGAUCGUCUUUAUAGAAUAAUUGUGUUUCCUUUUUAUUUACUUAUCCCCCAAACCCCCAACCACCCUAAGUAACUUUAUCUCAAGCAACAGUUAAACACUGAAUAAUCAGCAGAGGACAGCAGCUUGUCACCACCAGGUUAUUUAAAUAUGACACUCUGAUAUAACAAUGCAGCAGCUUUUGCUUAUUUACAUUCUGAACUUUUACAGGCAUCUGAUAUUUUCUGUAUUUUUAGUGGUGGCAUUGCACUAAUUUGGUUGAGCAUUCAUUCAGAUCUUGAAAAGAUGAAAGACAAACUGACUUAAAAUGCAUUCUUAUGAGUCUAAUGAGCAUUCAGACUGAAAUAUGCACGGUGCAUAGCUGAAGUGUGUAAAUCAUGAGACUGGGAAAGGACAGGAUGUACAUACUUUGCAGAUGCAUAAAUGUCUAAUCAGUUUCCAGCUGCAGCUAUGUUCAGUCAUACUGAAGAUCCAGACAAGUUUAAACACAGGACUUU